CCCCUCUCAGGAUUGUACCUGGAGAAUUUCCAGUAUUCUACCAGUCUCUACUAUGGGAGGGAGAGCCAAGCAGAGGCCUACCCGUUCCAUUCCUAGCUUGGGCAGUGGCUGGCGAGUGGAGGGCAAUCUGCGGCACGG